rnacentral:rRNA from 1 species
GCUUAACGCGAAGAACCUUACCCACCUUUGACAUGUACGGAAUCCUUUAGAGAUAGAGGAGUGCUCGAAAGAGAGCCGUAACACAGGUGCUGCAUGGCUGUCGUCAGCUCGUGUCGUGAGAUGUUGGGUUAAGUCCCGCAACAAGCGCAACCCUUGUCAUUAGUUGCUACGAAAGGGCACUCUAAUGAGACUGCCGGUGACAAACCGGAGGAAGGUGGGGAUGACGUCAAGUCCUCAUGGCCCUUAUAGGUGGGGCUACACACGUCAUACAAUGGCCGGUACAAAGGGCAGCCAACCCGCGAGGGGGAGCCAAUCCCAUAAAGCCGGUCGUAGUCCGGAUCGCAGUCUGCAACUCGACUGCGUGAAGUCGGAAUCGCUAGUAAUCGUGGAUCAGCAUGUCACGGUGAAUACGUUCCCGGGUCUUGUACACACCG